AGUGAACGCUGGCGGUAGGCCUAACACAUGCAAGUCGAACGGCAGCACAGUAAGAGCUUGCUCUUACGGGUGGCGAGUGGCGGACGGGUGAGGAAUACAUCGGAAGCUACUUUUUCGUGGGGGAUCACGUAGGGAAACUUAUGCUAAUACCUCAUACGACCUACGGGUGACAGCAGGCGAUCUUCGGACCUUGCUCGAUUGAAUGAGCCGAUGUCGGAUUGGCUAGUUGGCGGGGUAAAGGCCCACCAAGGCGACGAUCCGUAGCUGGUCUGAGAGGAUGAUAAGCCGCACGGGAGCUGGACCGCGGUCAAGACUACUGCGGGAGGGCGCAGAGGGGAACAGUGGACAAUGGGCGGGAGCCUGAUCCAGCCAGACCGCGUGGGUGAAGAAAGCCUUCGGGUUGUAAAGACCUUUUGUUGGGAAAGAAAAGCAGCAGGUUAAUAACCCGCUGUUCUGACGGUACCCAAAGAAUAAGCACCGGCUAACUUCGUG
rnacentral:rRNA from 1 species